rnacentral:rRNA from 1 species
UACGUAGGGGGCAAGCGUUGUCCGGAAUCAUUGGGCGUAAAGCGCGUGUAGGCGGCUCGAUAAGUCUGCUGUGAAAGUCCAGGGCUCAACCCUGGGAUGCCGGUGGAUACUGUCGAGCUCGAGUCCGGAAGAGGCGAGUGGAAUUCCUGGUGUAGCGGUGAAAUGCGCAGAUAUCCGGAGGAACACCGGUGGCGAAGGCGGCUUCCUGGACCGACACUGACGCUGAGGCGCGAAAGCUAGGGGAGCAAACAGG